CAUAUGGAUUCCUACGGGAGGCAGCAGUGGGGAAUUUUUGGCAAUGGGGGCAACCCUGACCAAGCAACGCCGCGUGGGUGAUGAAGGCCUUCGGGUCGUAAAGCCCUGUCUGGGGGGACGAACCUCUUGCCGGUGAAUAUCCGGCAAGACCGACGGUACCCCCGAAGGAAGCACCGGCUAACUCUGUGCCAGCAGCCGCGGUAAGACAGAGGGUGCGAGCGUUGUUCGGAAUUACUGGGCGUAAAGGGCGCGUAGGCGGCCUGCUAAGUUCGGUGUGAAAGCCCUCGGCUCAACCGAGGAAGUGCGCCGGAUACUGGCAGGCUUGAGUACCGGAGAGGAGGGUGGAAUUCCUGGUGUAGCGGUGAAAUGCUUAGAUAUGUCAUAGAACACCGAUUGCGAAGGCAGCUCACUAAACUGUCACUGACGCUGAGGCACGAAAGCGUGGGGAGCAAACAGGAUUAGAUACCCUGGUAGUCCACGCCCUAAACUAUGAUCACUCGAUGUUGGCGAUACACUGUCAGCGUCUAAGCGAAAGCAUUAAGUGAUCCACCUGGGGAGUACGGUCGCAAGACUGAAACUCAAAGGAAUUGACGGGGGGCCCGCACAAGCGGAGGAGCAUGUGGUUUAAUUCGAUGAUACGCGAGGAACCUUACCUGGGCUUGAAAGUUAGUGAAUCCCGCAGAAACGCGGGAGGCCGAAAGGACACGAAACUAGGUGCUGCAUGGCUGUCGUCAGCUCGUGCCGUGAGGUGUUGGGUUAAGUCCCGCAACGAGCGCAACCCCUGUCAUUAGUUGCCAACAGGUAAUGCUGGGGACUCUAAUGAGACUGCCUGCGCAAGCAGUGAGGAAGGUGGGGAUGACGUCAAGUCAUCACGGCCCUUACGUCCAGGGCUACACACGUGCUACAAUGGAUGGUACAACGGGUUGCUACUUGGUAACAAGAUGCUAAUCUCUAAAGCCAUUCUCAGUUCGGAUUGAGGUCUGCAACUCGACCUCAUGAAGCUGGAUUCGCUAGUAAUCGCGUAUCAGCAAUGACGCGGUGAAUACGUUCCCGGGCCUUGUACACACAUCGGAUCCCCGGGUAC
rnacentral:rRNA from 1 species